rnacentral:lncRNA from 1 species
UAUGAUGUCUUUUAUAUAUAGCACAAUUGUUGUUGAUCAUCCUUUUCCUUAUUGUUGAGUUUGAAGCUAAGCCACUUUGACAAUGAGGGAAUGGCACUUGAACAGGUCCUUUCCUGAAAUCCUGGGAGGAUUUCAAGACGUGAUCGCUGUGGGAACAAGGAAAGAAGAGCCCAUUUCAGGAAACCACCAUGGAAGGAGUAUCCUGAUCCCCAGAGUGUGGCUGCAUCAUGAGCCCCAGAACACGAGGCAAUGGAAACCCACCGUAGCUGUUGUGUACAGAUUCCUGAAUGCUAAAUACACACUCCUGUUGGUGGGAAUCUUGUGUGUUGGGGGGUGGAGAAAGGACAGCUUCAAGAGGAUGAAUGACAAGAUCUAAAGCUCUGUAAGGGCAAAUAUCAUGACUUCCCUAUGUGAAAUGCCUUCAGAUAUUUGAAUGUAACUCUUACGAGCCCACUGUGUUUUAUCUCCUCAAGACACUUAUCAACAGGGCCACCUGGUCCAAAGAAAGCAAUCUGUUGGCAUGUACUUCCUUCUCGCUGGGUGUUUUAUGGAAGCGCCUUGUCCCAACACCUUUCAAAGGCUGCCUACUUUCCCUAUUGUCCAAUGAAGAAAACAAAGUACUUCAGUCCCUUUGGAUU